GAUGGACGCUGGCGGCGUGCCUAAUACAUGCAAGUCGAGCGAACGGACGAGAAGCUUGCUUCUCUGAUGUUAGCGGCGGACGGGUGAGUAACACGUGGAUAACCUACCUAUAAGACUGGGAUAACUUCGGGAAACCGGAGCUAAUACCGGAUAAUAUUUUGAACCGCAUGGUUCAAAAGUGAAAGACGGUCUUGCUGUCACUUAUAGAUGGAUCCGCGCUGCAUUAGCUAGUUGGUAAGGUAACGGCUUACCAAGGCAACGAUGCAUAGCCGACCUGAGAGGGUGAUCGGCCACACUGGAACUGAGACACGGUCCAGACUCCUACGGGAGGCAGCAGUAGGGAAUCUUCCGCAAUGGGCGAAAGCCUGACGGAACAACGCCGCGUGAGUGAUGAAGGUCUUCGGAUCGUAAAACUCUGUUAUUAGGGAAGAACAUAUGUGUAAGUAACUGUGCACAUCUUGACGGUACCUAAUCAGAAAGCCACGGCUAACUACGUG
rnacentral:rRNA from 1 species